ACAUGUUAUUCAAAUACCUAAAGUGUUUAGGUUAUUAGUGGUCAUUCAAGGACUAUACAUCAAAGCAAACAAAUUCAGAAUACAUUGCUUUCUGAUUA